rnacentral:rRNA from 1 species
AGGAUAAACGCUGGCGGCGUGCCUAACACAUGCAAGUCGAACGCCCUACGCAAGUAGGGAGUGGCGGACGGGUGAGGAACACGUGGGUUAUCUGCCUUUCGGUGAGGAAUACCAGCGAGAAAUCGCUGACAAUACCGCAUACGGUUCUUUCGAGAGAGAGAACGAAAGUCGCAAGACGCCGGGAGAUGAGCCUGCGCCCGAUUAGUUAGUUGGUGGGGUAAAAGCCUACCAAGACUGCAAUCGGUAGCUGGUCUGAGAGGACGAUCAGCCACACUGGGAUUGAGAACGGCCCAGACUCCUACGGGGGGCAGCAGUGAGGAAUUUUCGUCAAUGGGGGAAACCCUGAACGAGCAACGCCGCGUGCAGGAAGAAGGUUUUCGGAUCGUAAACUGCUUUUCUGUGGGAAGAGAACGGACGGUACCACAGGAAGAAGCCCCGGCUAACUACGUGCCAGCAGCCGC